rnacentral:sRNA from 1 species
GAGAACAUGAGUAGAUAAUUUCAGGGUGCAGCCCAAUCUGCCAGACUUAAAAAAACCAUCUUGUGUCUUUGGAGGUGCUGCUUAAUAUCAAACACGCGGUGCCAUGAAGGGACCCUUUGGGGGUUGAAUAGGAGUUAACCCCUGCGCUCUCUUUGCAACUGUCUGCCUUCUCAGAGUGGUGGGGGAAGGCUGUACGACACGGGUGGGGACAGGAGGUGGGGGCGGGGAGUAUUGAAUGGUGGUGGAAGGGUAGAGAGGCGCGGAGUGAACCCCACGCCCUGUCUAAAGUGUAUUUUCACAGCCGGCCCGCCUCUCCUCGGUUCAAGGUCACUGUUUCCUGGGCACGCACUGGGUUGCGGGACAGAGUAGCCAGGUUCUGCAGGUGCUCGGAGAAGAGCGCAGUGUUUUGCAAGUGCUGGAGUCUCCUGAGGACACGCGCGCCGCCGCCACCGCGGGUGUGGGAAAGCGCGGACGUGCUGGGCGUCUGUGCUUCGUCAAUGGCUUGUUCAUCAUCCAGAUGUGGCUACUGACAUAUCUACACUUCGCACCGGAGUGUCUGGAAUUGUGGCUAUCCUGAUUAUAGGAUUUUAACUUAACUGAAAUGCCUGCUUUGAAUAAAUGUGUUGGGUUUUU